AUGCGGAAGUAGCAGUCCGGUCCUAGGGACUAGCAGGUGGGUUGGUUGGGCGCAGGAGGACGGGGGCGCGCUUCCCAUAACAUUACCCUGGCUGAGCGUGAGGCUCCAGGGCUGGGCACCGGGUUGACCUCUUAUUCCUCGCUGAGGGCAUCGUUACCGCCUGUGGCUGCAAGCCGAGGCGCGCGGGUGGAAACUGGGUCGAGGUCUGGGUAGACGUCUGAGCGAUCUGCACAAGGAGUGGCGCAGUCUGGAAUUUGAUUGAGGAUUCCUAACGCCCUCCGCUUGAUGUUCUGGUGAUUCCCGGGGGCUCGGCUUCGGAGGAAGGCACCAAGAAACUGAUAAUGUUCCUUUGAAUUGGCUUCUGUAUUUGCUUCAUCAAUGUCUCUCAUACUGAAUAUCUUAAGAGAGAUGCUGGAAUAUUUUGGCGUUCCUGUAGAACAGUUAGAAGUAACUUCAGCAUAUUUGUCAUCACUCUGGAAGAAACAGACAGGAAGAAAUUUAAGAUCCACAUGAGAGAGGAUUGAGCACCGCCUUUGAGAA
rnacentral:lncRNA from 10 species